rnacentral:rRNA from 1 species
GUCCACGCCGUAAACGAUGGGUACUAGGUGUUGGGGUAUUGACCCCCCAGUGCCGCAGUUAACGCAUUAAGUACCCCGCCUGGGAAGUACGGCCGCAAGGCUAAAACUCAAAGGAAUUGACGGGGCCCGCACAAGCGGUGGAGCAUGUGGUUUAAUUCGACGCAACGCGAAGAACCUUACCUGGGCUUGACAUCCUAGGAACCCCCAGGAAACUGGGGGUGCCCGCAAGGGAGCCUAGAGACAGGUGCUGCAUGGCUGUCGU